CCUACGGGAGGCAGCAGUGGGGAAUAUUGGGCAAUGGGCGCAAGCCUGACCCAGCAACGCCGCGUGAAGGAAGAAGGCUUUCGGGUUGUAAACUUCUUUUCUCAGGGACGAAGAAAGUGACGGUACCUGAGGAAUAAGGAUCGGCUAACUCCGUGCCAGCAGCCGCGGUAAUACGGAGGAUUCGAGCGUUAUCCGGAUUUAUUGGGUUUAAAGGGUGCGUAGGCUGUCGGAUAAGUUAGAGGUCAAAUGUCGGGGCUUAACCCCGUGCCUGCCUCUGAUACUGUUCGACUAGAGAGCGGAUGCAGCAGGCGGAAUGAGUAGUGUAGCGGUGAAAUGCUUAGAGAUCAUACAGAACACCGAUUGCGAAGGCAGCUUACCAAGCUACUUCUGACGUUGAGGCACGAAAGCGUGGGGAGCAAACAGGAUUAGAUACCCCAGUAGUC
rnacentral:rRNA from 1 species